rnacentral:rRNA from 1 species
UACGUAGGGUGCGAGCGUUGUCCGGAAUUACUGGGCGUAAAGAGUUCGUAGGCGGUUUGUCGCGUCGUUCGUGAAAACUUGGGGCUUAACUCCAAGCGUGCGGGCGAUACGGGCAGACUUGAGUACUACAGGGGAGACUGGAAUUCCUGGUGUAGCGGUGAAAUGCGCAGAUAUCAGGAAGAACACCCGUGGCUAAGGCGGCUCUCUAGUACGGUACUGACGCUGAGACGCGAAAGCGUGGGGAGCGAACAGG